CUCACAGCUCCCGAGCUUUCAGACUGCGCCGGGCGCCUGGCGAGGAGCUGCGGGUUAGAAUCUGCCCCUCACCCUGUGGAAACGGUUCAGUCGGAACCUCUGCUGGUUCUUUUCCUUCUUAAAGCUCGUACUAUUCAGAGAAGUAAAAGAAAAAGAGAAAGACGUUCCCAUUUCCUGUACCAGACGUGGCUUUAAAUGAAGACACUGCGAAGCAGCGGAGCGGACUGACAUCGUCCGGGUUGGGUGUACCUGGUGCAGGCGAUGGGGACCCCCCCCCCGUUAUGUCACAGGCGUUCUCUGUGGAGGCUCCCUCUUCAUCACCCCUUCCCCCCUGCCUGGCAGGGCUCCAACACCACCCCGGAGGCUCGCGGAACCGGGCCGCAGACAAAGCCGCAAUUCUAAGGAGCCUGGCUGGGGCAGGACGUCUCCUUCUAGAACACUGGCCAGACGCGGCCAGAACUGGGGCAAGAAAAGCCUUCUGUGGCCUCAGCUCUGCCCAAGGGAGAGGGCGAGGGCCGGGGGCGCUGGCCCGGGUCCCUGCGCGGCUUCCAGGCCGCACUCACCUCCCACUCCGUGCUGCUCGCCAGGCAGGGAGGCCCAGGCGCUCCGAAGCACACGGCCGAGCCGGGGGACGCCGGGGACCCGGCUUCUCCGUCGGGCAGGAAGCACCUUCCGGUGCCUCCACCUUUCAACUGAGAUGUGUCACCGGCGGCAACCACUGUUGUCCGGGGACCGGGUGGCUGUCACGUGCGGCUCGCAGGCUCCCGGCUUACGUCCUGCGGCCGCUCCGGCCGGCUGCCCCGCGCCCCCAGACGCGAGCCGGACCCGCUCAGGGACCCACGAAGGCCAAGAAAAUCCCCACCGCAGCAGAGGAAGGGGCAGGGGCACUUGUACACGCGACGUGAGGCGUCUAUAAAACCUGUUGUGCAAGUUAGGGGGACCGUCGGGGUAAACGUCAAACCGGUCCAUCCUCGUUCCUGAGAGCGGGAGGAUGCGGGGCGCGGGCGGAUGCGCCGACCGCACCCCGCCCCCAGCCCGGCCCCCGGAGCGGGUCGCCCGCGGGGGUGCGGGGGCCGAGGGCGCGGGCGCCGCCGGCUGCCGACCUACCUGCACCGGCUGCUGGAGGCCAUUCCUCCGCCCGAGGGGCCCCCCCACCCCCCGCCCCAUCCCGGGCUCACCUGCUCGGCGGGGCAAAGGGCGCGCGCGGAGAUCCGGGCGCGGGGUCCGGGGCGGGGGUCCAGGCGCGGGGAUCCGGGUCGGGGAUCCGGCUCUGGGGUCCGGGGCGGGGCGGCGUCUCCGCCGCAGCCCGACGCACAGGAAGGGCGGGCGCCGCGGGCUCGCGGGAGCGGGGCGGCUCGGCGGGCCUGCGCGCCUCGGGGAUGGCCCGGCUCCCACCUGCGGCGCCUUUUAACCGCGCCCCACCCCGCCUCCGGCCUGACGCUGGGCGGGCGGGAGGCGCGCCGCGGGCGCGGGGGGAUCGCGGGGCGCGGGGCGCGCGGGGCGGGCUGCGUUGGUGCCGGACGCGGCCGCCCUCCCCCGGCCCGCCGGGUGCCUCGCGCGCCCCUCGGAGAGCAGCCUGCAGGCCCGGGGCUGCGGGGCUCUAUUCACCGCGGCCACGUCGCGGAGGUGAAGCGUUAUUGGUCACGCCGGUCCCCUGCCACCCCUCCAGCGGAGGCCGAGCGGGCCUCCCUCGGCCAGCCCCGCCUCGCCGGCGUAGACCCUGCCGGCGCCCCCUCCCACCCACGGGUGGGCUCUGAGCGCCCAGGGCCGCCCCAGGCAGGGGCUGCAGGCCAGCGGGGUGGGAAGGUUGGGAGCCGCACAGGGACCCGGCUUUAGGGGUCCGGACCUGCCCCACGUCAGACUGGAGGUGUGUGUCUUGCUUAUUCCACGAAAUGGGUGGGUAACUGAGUCCCCCGAAGCGACGCUGCUGCGGGGGCCUCUUCUGGAAGGCACAGGGCUGCGGGUGAUGAUUGAGAUGUGUCUUCAGCGUUGCAGAAGAGGAAACAAGACUUUACAGAGAUCCUUCUGCCUAAAUAUUUUGAGGAGAAGGAGGUUCUCAGAGAAUUGUCCCUGAAACAGAGAGGCACCGGGCAGGGUCCUCGUCGGGUGGACACAGCACAUGCCGCUCCGGGCGGCUUUGCGUCUCAACUGGCACAGCCCGGCCGACACAGCAGCUGGCCCUGGAGAUGGCUCCUGCUGCCGAGGCAGGACCACCCGCGUUCCGUGUCCUGUGGCGGGCUCCACGCGACACCGCCUGAGCGGUUAUGCUCUGGACCAAGGCCCCUGUUCCGGGGCGGUAGCCUGGAACUAGAGGUAGCCUUAGGUUUGGUGAUGAGGUGAUGACUUUUUAGCUACAACGCCAAGGAAAUGCAAAGUAAAACAGCAACGAGAUACCACGACACACCUAUUCAAAUGUCUAAGAUCCCAAACCAUGAAAAGUCCAAGUGCUGGGGAGGGUGUGGGGAACAGGAACUCUCACUCGCUGCUGGUGGGAAUUCAGAUUUACAGCCGCUUUGGAAGACAGUUUGGCUGUUUCUUACAGAGCUAGUCCUACCAUACGGUCCAGCCAUCGUGCUCGUCGGUACCUACCCAAAGGAGCUGAAAACUUACGUCCACGUGAAAACCUGCCCACGCAUGUUUACAGCACUUUCAUUCAUAAUUGUCAAAACUGGAAGCACCCAAGAUGUCCUUCGGUAGGUGAUGGACGAAUAAACCGUGGUGCAGCCAGACAAUGGAAUAUUAUUUAGUGAUACAGAGACAUGAACUAUGGAGCUAUGGAAAGUCAUGGAGGAAACUUAGGUGCAUGUGACUAAGUGAAAGAAGCCCGUCUGAAAAGGCUACAUACAGCGUGAUUCCACCUAUGUGAUAUUCUGGAAAAGGCAAGGCUGUGGAGACGGCAAACGGAGCAGUGGUGGCCGGGAGCUGGGUGGCUGGAGGGAUGGACAGAUGGAGCACAGAGGAGUUUUAGGGCAGCCUGCUCUGCAUGAGGCUGUAAUGCUGCGUACACAUCAUCUUACAUUUGUCCGAACCCGGAGAAAAAGUACGCCACCAAGCGGGAACCCCGGUGCACACCACAGAUUCCAGGCGAUGCUGAUGUGUCCGUGCAGGCUCACCUGCCAGAACAAGGGUACCAUCUGUCGGGGAUGCUGGUAGUGGGAGAAACUGUGUAGGAGGCGGUGGUGUGUGGGAACCCAAUAUACUUUCUGCUCAGUUGUUUUUUUUUUUGUAAACCUAGAACUACUCUAACAAAUAAAGUCUGUUAAUUAAAAACUGAAUAAAGUAAA